rnacentral:rRNA from 1 species
UACGGGGGGGGGCAAGCGUUGUUCGGAAUUACUGGGCGUAAAGGGCGCGUAGGCGGCCUUCUAAGUCAGACGUGAAAUCCCUCGGCUCAACCGAGGAACUGCGUCUGAUACUGGAAGGCUUGAAUCCGGGAGAGGGAUGUGGAAUUCCAGGUGUAGCGGUGAAAUGCGUAGAUAUUGGGAGGAACACCAGUGGCGAAGGGCGGCAUCCUGGACCGGUAUUGACACUGAGGCGCGAAAGCCAGGGGAGCAAACGGG